rnacentral:rRNA from 1 species
CCUACGGGAGGCAGCAGUGGGGAAUAUUGCACAAUGGGGGAAACCCUGAUGCAGCGACGCCGCGUGAGUGAAGAAGUAUUUCGGUAUGUAAAGCUCUAUCAGCAGGGAAGAGAAUGACGGUACCUGAGUAAGAAGCCCCGGCUAACUACGUGCCAGCAGCCGCGGUAAUACGUGGGGGGCAAGCGUUAUGGAUUUACUGGGUGUAAAGGGAGCGUAGACGGCGAGUAAAGUCUGAAGUGAAAGCCCGCGGCUCAACCGCGGAACUUCUUUGGAAACUUUUUUGCUUGAGUACCGGAGAGGUAAGCGGAAUUCCUAGUGUAGCGGUGAAAUGCGUAGAUAUUAGGAGGAACACCAGUGGCGAAGGCGGCUUACUGGACGGUAACUGACGUUGAGGCUCGAAAGCGUGGGGAGCAAACAGGAUUAGAUACCCCAGUAGUC